rnacentral:rRNA from 1 species
GACGAACGCUGGCGGCGUGCUUAACACAUGCAAGUCGAACGGAAAGGCCUGCUUUCCCUUGUGGAUUGCGGGUACUCGAGUGGCGAACGGGUGAGUAACACGUGAGUGAUCUUCCCCCAACUUGGGUAUAAGCCUGGGAAACUGGGUCUAAUUCCCGAUAGGACUGCAGGGUGGUGCCUGUGGUGGAAAACGAUUUUCUAGUGGUUGGGGAUGAGCUCGCGGCCUAUCAGCUUGUUGGUGGGGUAAUGGCCUACCAAGGCGGCGACGGGUAGCCGGCCUGAGGGGGUGGACGGCCACAUUGGGACUGAGAUACGGCCCAGACUCCUACGGGAGGCAGCAGUGGGGAAUAUUGCACAAUGGGCGGAAGCCUGAUGCAGCGACGCCGCGUGGGGGAUGACGGCCUUCGGGUUGUAAACUCCUUUCGACCGCGAGGAAGCCACCUGGUUGGAAGGGUGGUGACGGUAGUGGUAGAAGAAGCACCGGCUAACUACGUG